CCUUUACUUGUAUUGCCAUGAUGAUUCUCUUGUCAUGGACUACUUAUAGGCAUAAUUUACCAGACGGAGACCCUUCCGAAAAUUAAAGAGAUGUCAUGGAGGAUACGCACAAAUGACCCUUUUACCCUCCAAAGAAAAGGCGCUGGUGAUGACACAUAAUGCGAUUACUUAUUGGCAUGAAACGGUCCAUCUCGACAUGUUCUUUUUCCUUCAGUGCCAUGAGAAGCUACUGACACGAAUCACAAAGAUGUUUUGACUGGUGGAAGCAUCUCCUCCAUUGCUGAGUUCGCAAUGACAGUGGAAAAGACUCCACUAUUUGCACACUUCGGUGAGUUUGGCAAGCUCCUGUUUGGGCUACAAACUUGACCCUAUUCUCAUCAUGGUAAGGGUGCAGAGCUAUUCAGUUGUGCAGAAAAGGCGGUUCUGUCCCGUCCGAUCCAAUCCAGAGGAAAGCAGGAUGGUGAGUUGUUAGUGGAGUGAUCACCUAGUAUGAAAGCUCCCUGUCUCAUCCAUCUCCCUUGAUAAUGGAAAUUGGCGACGCCGAGAGACGAGCAGCUCCCAGUUGCGCAGAGGAAUGGCGAAAGCGGGUUGUCGGUAUGAUGCGGCAUUGGUGCACAUGGCGGAACUACACUUUGCUGCAACUGCACAUUACUUCUUGAUCAGGAAACGGCCAGCAAUGCCAGGCUAGCCCCUAGACGCAGCAAUAAGAAAAAUCUUCGUCGCCGACAACUGGUAGUAGAUCCAGACCGGGGCAGUGACAUAAAAUUCCCCGAGGUUUUGACUGCGCACAUUGUGCAGCGAGCACCCACCCACUCGUCUCUUUCAGCGGUAACGAUGUUACCGCCGCUUGUUUCCUACCGCAGGGGUACUGGAUCCAGACAAGAUGCUGAAUUAUGCCCACCUGGAGAAUAGCAUCCAUGUUCAGAUCACAAUCUAAGCCACAUCUGCAGCCCUAUCCUACUAGGCUUUAGCUGCCUGCAAGGACAGUUAGAUGGGGAACAGUAGGGUAUUGUCCCGAUCACAGUACAUACCCUAAGCAAAAGCACAUUAAGAAGCAAAGGAAAGAGAAGGCACUGGCUUUUGCCAUAAGCCUAUGGCUGAGAAAAGUGCUGACUCUCCUCCAUGCUGAUAAAAAGCUGCCUUUAACCUGACACAAAAAAAGGUUGUGUGUCAAAAAAGAAAAGGAGAAACUUGUCAUUUUCAUUUUGUGAGAAUAAACUGUUUUCAUAUAUCAGUGUGCAUCUUGUAAAAAGAAGUUGUAUCAAAAAAAUAGAAGGAAAGAUUUGCCUUUUCUCCUUUUGUUAUUUUGGAGAAGGAAAUAUAUAUUAUUUUUUUGAUAAAAAAGAAGAAAAUAUAAUGAUUGGGUGUA